UGAGUUUUUAUCCUGGCUCAGGAUGAACGCUAGCGGCAGGCUUAACACAUGCAAGUCGAGGGGUAUAGUUCUUCGGAAUUAGAGACCGGCGCACGGGUGCGUAACGCGUAUGCAAUCUACCUUUUACAGAGGGAUAGCCCAGAGAAAUUUGGAUUAAUACCUCAUAGUAUAAUAGCUCGGCAUCGAGCAAUUAUUAAAGUCACAACGGUAAAAGAUGAGCAUGCGUCCCAUUAGCUAGUUGGUAAGGUAACGGCUUACCAAGGCUACGAUGGGUAGGGGUCCUGAGAGGGAGAUCCCCCACACUGGUACUGAGACACGGACCAGACUCCUACGGGAGGCAGCAGUGAGGAAUAUUGGACAAUGGGCGCAAGCCUGAUCCAGCCAUGCCGCGUGCAGGAUGACGGUCCUAUGGAUUGUAAACUGCUUUUAUACGAGAAGAAACACUACUUCGUGAAGUAGCUUGACGGUAUCGUAAGA
rnacentral:rRNA from 1 species